rnacentral:rRNA from 1 species
CACGGGGGGAGGAAAGUAGGGGAUCGUAAGACCUUGCGCUUUUGGAGCGGCCGAUGCCUGAUUAGCUAGUUGGUGGGGUAAUGGCCUACCAAAGCUUCGAUCAGUAGCUGGUCUGAGAGGACGGCCAGCCACACUGGGACUGAGACACGGCCCAGACUCCUACGGGAGGCAGCAGUGGGGAAUUUUGGACAAUGGGCGCAAGCCUGAUCCAGCCAUGCCGCGUGAGUGAAGAAGGCCUUCGGGUUGUAAAGCUCUUUCAGCCGGGAAGAAAAGGUUGCGAUUAAUAAUCGCAAUUUAUGACGGUACCGGAAGAAGAAGCACCGGCUAACUACGUGCCAGCAGCCGCGGUAAUACGUAGGGUGCGAGCGUUAAUCGGAAUUACUGGGCGUAAAGGGUGCGCAGGCGGUUUUGUAAGUCAGA